AGAGUUUGAUCAUGGCUCAGAUUGAACGCUGGCGGCAGGCCUUAACACAUGCAAGUCGAGCGGUAGCAGGAGAAAGCUUGCUUUCUUGCUGACGAGCGGCGGACGGGUGAGUAAUGUAUGGGGAUCUGCCCGAUAGAGGGGGAUAACUACUGGAAAUGGUGGCUAAUACCGCAUAAUGUCUACGGGCCAAAGCAGGGGCUCUUCCGACCUUCCACUAUCGGAUGAACCCAUAUGGGAUUAGCUAGUAGGUGGGGUAAAGGCUCACCUAGGCGACGAUCUCUAGCUGGUCUGAGAGGAUGAUCAGCCACACUGGGACUGAGACACGGCCCAGCACUCCUACGGGAGGCAGCAGUGGGGAAUAUUGCACAAUGGGCGCAAGCCUGAUGCAGCCAUGCCGCGUGUAUGAAGAAGGCCUUAGGGUUGUAAAGUACUUUCAGCGGGGAGGAAGGUGAUAAGGUUAAUACCCUUUUCAAUUGACGUUACCCGCAGAAGAAGCACCGGCUAACUCCGUGCCAGCAGCCGCGGUAAUACGGAGGGUGCAAGCGUUAAUCGGAAUUACUGGGCGUAAAGCGCACGCAGGCCGGUCAAUUAAGUCAGAUGUGAAAGCCCCGAACUUUACCUGGGAAAUUCCAUUUAAACUUGGUUGCUUAGAUUUUGUAAAAGGGGGGUGGAAUUCCUUUGUAGCCGGGGAAAGGGGAAAAAAGGGGGGGGAUUCCCGGGGGGGAGGCCGCCCCCUUGGCCAAAAAUUGCCCCCCAGUGGGGAAAGGGGGGGAACCAACCAGAAUAAAUUCCCCGGUUAGUCCACCCGUUAACCAAGUUGAUUUAGGGGGUGUGGUCCUUAACCGUUGCUUUUGGAAGUUAACGGGUAAAUCGACCGCCUGGGGAGUACGGCCGCAAGGUUAAAACUCAAAUGAAUUGACGGGGGCCCGCACAAGCGGUGGAGCAUGUGGUUUAAUUUGAUGCAACGCGAAGAACCUUACCUACUCUUGACAUCCAGCGAAUCCUUUAGAGAUAGAGGAGUGCCUUAGGGAACGCUGAGACAGGUGCUGCAUGGCUGUCGUCAGUUCGUGUUGUGAAAUGUUGGGUUAAGUCCCGCAACGAGCGCAACCCUUAUCCUUUGUUGCCAGCACGUAAUGGUGGGAACUCAAAGGAGACUGCCGGUGAUAAACCGGAGGAAGGUGGGGAUGACGUCAAGUCAUCAUGGCCCUUACGAGUAGGGCUACACACGUCCCUACAAUGGCAGAUACAAAGAGAAGCGACCUCGCGAGAGCAAGCGGAACUCAUAAAGUCUGUCGUAGUCCGGAUUGGAGUCUGCAACUCGACUCCAUGAAGUCGGAAUCGCUAGUAAUCGUAGAUCAGAAUGCUACGGUGAAUACGUUCCCGGUCCUUGUCCCCCCCGCCCGUCACACCAUGGGAGUGGGUUGCAAAAGAAGUAGGUAGCUUAACCUUCGGGAGGGCGCUACCCAUCU
rnacentral:rRNA from 1 species